CCUACGGGGCGCAGCAGUGGGGAAUAUUGGCAAUGGGCGCAAGCCUGACCCAGCAACGCCGCGUGAAGGAAGAAGGCUUUCGGGUUGUAAACUUCUUUUCUCAGGGACGAAGCAAGUGACGGUACCUGAGGAAUAAGCCACGGCUAACUACGUGCCAGCAGCCGCGGUAAUACGUAGGUGGCAAGCGUUAGCCGGAUUUACUGGGUGUUAAGGGCGUGUAGGCGGGGACGCAAGUCAGAUGUGAAAACCACGGGCUCAACCUGUGGCCUACAUUUGAAACUGUGUUUCUUGAGUACGGGAGAGGCAGACGGAAUUCCUAGUGUAGCGGUGAAAUGCGUAGAUAUUAGGAGGAACACCAGUGGCGAAGGCGGUCUGCUGGACAGCAACUGACGCUGAGGCGCGAAAGCGUGGGGAGCAAACAGGAUUAGAUACCCUAGUAGUC
rnacentral:rRNA from 1 species